rnacentral:tRNA from 1 species
GCCCGGGUAGCUCAGUUGGUAGAGCAUGCGACUGAAAAUCGCAGUGUCGUUGGUUCGAUUCCGACCCCGGGCACCA